rnacentral:rRNA from 1 species
AUACGGAGGGGGUUAGCGUUGUUCGGAAUUACUGGGCGUAAAGCGCACGUAGGCGGACUGGAAAGUUGGGGGUGAAAUCCCGGGGCUCAACCCCGGAACUGCCUCCAAAACUUCCAAUCUAGAGAUCGAGAGAGGUGAGUGGAAUUCCAAGUGUAGAGGUGAAAUUCGUAGAUAUUUGGAGGAACACCAGUGGCGAAGGCGGCUCACUGGCUCGAUACUGACGCUGGGGUGCGAAAGCGUGGGGAGCAAACAGGAUUAGAAACCCUAGUAGUCC